CGCUGAAGCUGGUGCUUGCACCGAGCGGAUGAGUUGCGAACGGGUGAGUAACGCGUAGGUAACUUGCCUCUUAGCGGGGGAUAACUAUUGGAAACGAUAGCUAAUACCGCAUAAAAGUUGACAUUGCAUGAUGUUGAUUUGAAAGAUGCAAUUGCAUCACUAAGAGAUGGACCUGCGUUGUAUUAGCUAGUUGGUGAGGUAACGGCUCACCAAGGCGACGAUACAUAGCCGACCUGAGAGGGUGAUCGGCCACACUGGGACUGAGACACGGCCCAGACUCCUACGGGAGGCAGCAGUAGGGAAUCUUCGGCAAUGGGGGCAACCCUGACCGAGCAACGCCGCGUGAGUGAAGAAGGUUUUCGGAUCGUAAAGCUCUGAUGUAAGUCAAGAACGAGUGUGAGAGUGGAAAGUUCACACUGUGACGGUAACUUACCAGAAAGGGACGGCUAACUACGUGCCAGCAGCCGCGGUAAUACGUAGGUCCCGAGCGUUAUCCGGAUUUAUUGGGCGUAAAGCGAGCGCAGGCGGUUAGAUAAGUCUGAAGUUAAAGGCUGUGGCUUAACCAUAGUACGCUUUGGAAACUGUUUAACUUGAGUGCAGAAGGGGAGAGUGGAAUUCCAUGUGUAGCGGUGAAAUGCGUAGAUAUAUGGAGGAACACCGGUGGCGAAAGCGGCUCUCUGGUCUGUAACUGACGCUGAGGCUCGAAAGCGUGGGGAGCAAACAGGAUUAGAUACCCUGGUAGUCCACGCCGUAAACGAUGAGUGCUAGGUGUUGGGUCCUUUCCGGGACUCAGUGCCGCAGCUAACGCAUUAAGCACUCCGCCUGGGGAGUACGA
rnacentral:rRNA from 1 species